rnacentral:rRNA from 1 species
AGAGUUGAUCCUGGCUCAGAACGAACGCUGGCGGCGUGCCUAACACAUGCAAGUCGAGCGAGAAAGCCCGCAAGGGUGAGUAAAGCGGCGCACGGGUGCGUAACACGUGGGUAAUCUGCCCUAGAGUCCGGAAUAACUCGCCGAAAGGCGUGCUAAUGCCGGAUGAGACCACGGGAGCCUCGGCUCUCGCGGGAAAAGGUGGCCUCUGUAUACAAGCUAUCGCUCUAGGAUGAGCCCGCGGCCCAUCAGCUCGUUGGCGGGGUAAUGGCCCACCAAGGCUACGACGGGUAGCUGGUCUGAGAGGACGAUCAGCCACACUGGAACUGAGACACGGUCCAGACUCCUACGGGAGGCAGCAGUGGGGAAUCUUGCGCAAUGGGCGAAAGCCUGACGCAGCAACGCCGCGUGUGUGAUGAAGGUCUUCGGAUCGUAAAGCACUGUCGCGAGGGACGAAUAAGGGUCGGUCUAACAAGCCGGUCCGAUGACGGUACCUCGAGAGGAAGCACCGGCUAACUCUGUGCCAGCAGCCGCGGUAAUA